rnacentral:tRNA from 1 species
AGAAAAUUAGUUAAUUUAUAACAUUAGUUUGUCAUACUAAAAUUAUCAUAUGAUAUUUUCUU